GUAUUCUUUGCUUUCAUCAUUUAUCCAUCUAGUUGACUUUUUAUUUGUGUUGUUCAUUUGCCACAUGCAUCGCAGUUUAUCUGCUUUAACAAUAUGAUCUUUUAUUGGACAUGUUUACUGGAAUUUUGCAUAUGACCAUGUUCUUCUAGGAAAUUGACACUUGUUAUUCUGUAUCAUUAAAGGCAUUUUUCUUGCGGGAUGUGAUGUAUGAUU